rnacentral:rRNA from 1 species
AGCGAACGCUGGCGGCAUGCUUAACACAUGCAAGUCGCACGGGCAGCAAUGUCAGUGGCGGACGGGUGAGUAGCGCGUAGGGACGUGUUCUGAGGUGGGUGACAACCCCGGGAGACUGGGGCUAAUACCGCAUAUGGGCUGAGGCCCAAAGCCGCGAGGCGCCUUUGGAGCGGCCUGCGUCCGAUUAGGUAGUUGGUGGGGUAAAGGCCUACCAAGCCUGCGAUCGGUAGCUAGUCUGAGAGGACGACCAGCCACUCUGGGACUGAGACACGGCCCGGACUCCUACGCGAGGCAGCAGUGGGGAAUAUUGGACAAUGGGCUGAAGCCUGAUCCAGCACUGCCGCGUGGGUGAAGAAGGUCUUCGGAUCGUAAAGCGCUUUCGACGGGGACGAUGAUGACGGUACCCGUAGAAGAAGCCCCGGCUAACUUCGUG